GUGGCUGUAGCUCAGCUGGUUAGAGCGCCAGAUUGUGGUUCUGGAUGUCGUGGGUUCAAGUCCCAUCAGCCACCCCA
rnacentral:tRNA from 1 species